rnacentral:ncRNA from 1 species
GGAAACACGUUGAAGAGAAGAGUAGGGAUCAAUCCUUGUCUAGAGAGCUUGUAGCGGGUGGAAGCAAGCCUAGGAUCUCCUUGCAAAUGGUCUCAGAGUGGGCGCUUGGGUUAAACUAGCGCACGGGGGCACCCGUUACCAUGUCAGAGUCCUAACGGACUCACAGAGGCCUUGUCGGUGACGACAGGGUGAAUGAAGGUGGUACCACGAGUGACGCUCGUCCUUUUC